GCUUAGUUUUAAAUAAGAUUGCUUUAACAAUAAUAUCCGCCAGGGAACUACAAGCGAAAAGCUUUAAACCCAAAGGACUUGGCGGUGCUCCAUAUCGACUUAGAGGAGCCUGUCCUAUAAUCGAUACUCCACGAUAAACCUCACCGCCCUUAGCCCAAUAGCCUAUAUACCGCCGUCGCAAACUUACUCCAUGAGGAUAAAACAGUAAGUAUAAAAGUUAAACAACUAACACGUCAGGUCAAGGUGUAGCUUAUAGGGCGGCCAGCGAUGGGCUACAUUUUUUAAGAUAAAACACACGGCAAGAAGCUAUGAAAUAAGCCACCAAAGGCGGAUUUAAUAGUAAGAUUAGCAAGAAAGCUAAUCUUAAACUCGCACUGGAGCGCG
rnacentral:rRNA from 1 species